rnacentral:rRNA from 1 species
GAUGAACGCUGACGGAAUGCUUAACACAUGCAGUCACUGAUUGUGGCGGACGGGUGAGUAACGAGUAAAGAACUUGCCUCCCAGGUAGGGACAAUAAUUGCAAACGAAGGCUACUACCUAAUACUGUGAGAGAGCUUUGCGUCCCAUUAGCUAGUUGGAGAGGUAACGGCUCACCAAGGCGAGGAUGAGUAGCCGGCCUGAGAGGGUGAUCGGCCACAAGCGGACAGGGAAAGCGGCCUUACGCCUACGGGAGGCAGCAGUGGGGAACAUUGGACAAUGGACCAAUGUCUGAUCCAGCAAUUCUGUGUGCACGAUGAAGUUUUCGGAAUGUAAAGUGCUUUCAGUUGGGAAGCGGUACCAACAGAAGAAGCGACGGCUAAAUACGUGCCAGCAGCCGCGGUAAUAC